CCUACGGGGUGCAGCAGUAGGGAAUCUUCGGCAAUGGACGAAAGUCUGACCGAGCAACGCCGCGUGAGUGAAGAAGGUUUUCGGAUCGUAAAACUCUGUUGGUAGAGAAGAACGUUGGUGAGAGUGGAAAGCUCAUCAAGUGACGGUAACUACCCAGAAAGGGACGGCUAACUACGUGCCAGCAGCCGCGGUAAUACGUAGGUCCCAAGCGUUGUCCGGAUUUAUUGGGCGUAAAGCGAGCGCAGGUGGUUUAAUAAGUCUGAUGUAAAAGGCAGUGGCUCAACCAUUGUAUGCAUUGGAAACUGUUAGACUUGAGUACAGUAGAGGAGAGUGGAAUUCCAUGUGUAGCGGUGAAAUGCGUAGAUAUAUGGAGGAACACCGGUGGCGAAAGCGGAUCUCUGGACUGUGACUGACACUGAGGCUCGAAAGCGUGGGUAGCAAACAGGAUUAGAUACCCGCGUAGUC
rnacentral:rRNA from 1 species